UGGUGUGUGUGGGAGAUUCUUCCAGAU
rnacentral:piRNA from 1 species